rnacentral:rRNA from 1 species
CCUACGGGUGGCAGCAGUGAGGAAUAUUGGUCAAUGGACGAGAGUCUGAACCAGCCAAGUAGCGUGAAGGAUGACUGCCCUAUGGGUUGUAAACUUCUUUUAUAUGGGAAUAAAAUGUUCCACGUGUGUGAUUUUGUAUGUACCAUAUGAAUAAGGAUCGGCUAACUCCGUGCCAGCAGCCGCGGUAAUACGGAGGAUCCGAGCGUUAUCCGGAUUUAUCGGGUUUAAAGGGAGCGUAGGUGGAUUUGUAAGUCAGUUGUGAAAGUUUGCGGCUCAACCGUAACAUUGCAGUUGAAACUGGAAGUCUUGAGUACAGUAGAGGUGGGCGGAAUUCGUGGUGUAGCGGUGAAAUGCUUAGAUAUCACGAAGAACUCCGAUUGCGAAGGCAGUUCACUGGACUGCAACUGACACUGAGGCUCGAAAGUGUGGGUAGCAAACAGGAUUAGAUACCCGGGUAGUC